UACGUAGGGUGCGAGCGUUGUCCGGAAUUAUUGGGCGUAAAGGGCUCGUAGGCGGUCUGUCGCGUCGGGAGUGAAAACUCAGGGCUUAACCCUGAGCCUGCUUCCGAUACGGGCAGACUAGAGGUAUGCAGGGGAGAACGGAAUUCCUGGUGUAGCGGUGGAAUGCGCAGAUAUCAGGAGGAACACCGGUGGCGAAGGCGGCGACCUGGUCCGUGACUGACGCUGAGGCGCGAAAGCGUGGGGAGCAAACAGG
rnacentral:rRNA from 1 species